AGUAAUGUAUAGGAAUCUGCCCAUGUAGUGGGGGACAACCUGGGGAAACUCAGGCUAAUACCGCAUGAGCCCUUCGGGGGAAAGCAGGGGAUCUUCGGACCUUGCGCUAUUGGAUGAGCCUAUGCCUGAUUAGCUUGUUGGUGGGGUAACGGCCUACCAAGGCGACGAUCAGUAGCUGGUCUGAGAGGACGAUCAGCCACACUGGGACUGAGACACGGCCCAG
rnacentral:rRNA from 1 species